GACGUAGGAGGCGAGCGUUAUCCGGAUUCAUUGGGCGUAAAGAGCACGCAGGCGGUUUGGCAAGUCGGAUGUGAAAACCCGAAGCUCAACUUCGGGCCUGCAUCCGAAACUGCCCGACUAGAGGUAGGUAGGGGAGAUCGGAAUUCCUGGUGUAGCGGUGAAAUGCGCAGAUAUCAGGAGGAACACCGGUGGCGAAGGCGGAUCUCUGGGCCUUACCUGACGCUCAGGUGCGAAAGCUAGGGGAGCGAACAGG
rnacentral:rRNA from 1 species